rnacentral:tRNA from 1 species
GGGCCCGUAGCUCAGAUGGCUAGAGCGCACGCCUGAUAAGCGUGAGGUCGGUAGUUCGAUUCUACUCGGGCCCACCA